rnacentral:rRNA from 1 species
UACGUAGGGUGCGAGCGUUGUCCGGAAUUACUGGGCGUAAAGAGCUCGUAGGUGGUUUGUCGCGUUGUUCGUGAAAACUCACAGCUCAACUGUGGGCGUGCGGGCGAUACGGGCAGACUGGAGUACUGCAGGGGAGACUGGAAUUCCUGGUGCAGCGGUGGAAUGCGCAGAUAUCAGGAGGAACACCGGUGGCGAAGGCGGGUCUCUGGGCCGAUACUGACGCUGAGGAGCGAAAGCGUGGGGAGCGAACAGG